rnacentral:rRNA from 1 species
CCUACGGGCGGCAGCAGUAGGGAAUCUUUCACAAUGGGCGAAAGCCUGAUGGAGCAACGCCGCGUGCAGGAUGAAGGCCUUCGGGUUGUAAACUGCUUUUAUAAGCGAGAAAUAUGAUGGUAACUUAUGAAUAAGGAUCGGCUAACUACGUGCCAGCAGCCGCGGUCAUACGUAGGAUCCGAGCAUUAUCCGGAGUGACUGGGUGUAAAGAGUUGCGUAGGUGGGAUAAUAAGUAGCUAGUGAAAUCUGGUGGCUCAACCAUUCAGACUAUUAGCUAAACUGUUAAGCUCGAGAACGUUAGGGGUAAGUGGAAUUUCUAGUGUAGGAGUGAAAUCCGUAGAUAUUAGGAAGAACACCGAUAGCGUAGGCAGGUUACUGGGACGGUACUGACACUAAGGCACGAAAGCGUAGGGAGCAAACGGGAUUAGAUACCCGUGUAGUC